GACGUAGGGCGCAAGCGUUGUCCGGAAUUAUUGGGCGUAAAGAGCUCGUAGGCGGUCUGUUGCGUCCGCUGUGAAAACUCGGGGCUUAACCCCGAGCCUGCAGUGGAUACGGGCAGACUAGAGGUAGGUAGGGGAGAAUGGAAUUCCCGGUGUAGCGGUGAAAUGCGCAGAUAUCGGGAGGAACACCGGUGGCGAAGGCGGUUCUCUGGGCCUUACCUGACGCUGAGGAGCGAAAGCGUGGGGAGCGAACAGG
rnacentral:rRNA from 1 species